GACGAACGCUGGCGGCGUGCCUAAUACAUGCAAGUCGUGCGGACCUUUUAAAAGCUUGCUUUUAAAAGGUUAGCGGCGGACGGGUGAGUAACACGUGGGCAACCUGCCUGUAAGACUGGGAUAACGCCGGGAAACCGGGGCUAAUACCAGAUCGUUUUUUCCUCCGCAUGGAGGAAAAAGGAAAGGCGGCUUCGGCUGCCACUUACAGAUGGGCCCGCGGCGCAUGAGCUAGUUGGCGGGGUAACGGCCCACCAAGGCAACGAUGCGUAGCCGACCUGAGAGGGUGGUCGGCCACAUUGGGACUGAGACACGGCCCAAACGCCUUCGGGAGGCAGCAGUAGGGAAACUUCCGCAAUGGACGAAAGACUGACGGCGCAACGCCGCGUGAGUGAAGAAGGCCGUCGGGUCGGAAAACUCUGUUGCCGGGGAAGAACAAGUGCCGUUCGAACAGGGCGGCGCCUUGACGGUACCCGGCCAGAAAGCCACGGCUAACUACGUG
rnacentral:rRNA from 1 species